rnacentral:pre_miRNA from 2 species
AGUAUACUUUCUUCAUCCGAAAAUACUUGUCACAUGAAUUGAUGAAUCUAGAUCUAUUUUAUGUCUAAAUACAUUCAUUUUUAUAAAUUUGUGUAACAAGUAAUUGGGGACGGAGGAAGUAUUUU